UUGCUGAUGGCAGUCAUCCAUGCAAAGACAGAUGUCCUCGAUAAUCACGCUGUUUUAUUUUUCCCCUGGACUGCAUGAAUUGGAUUUACUGUACCGAGAAAGACGACAUUGGACAUGACUACAACAGUCAUUUUCCAGGUGCUACGCUAGUCAGCCCAAAGCGUUGCUGUCUGGUCUGUUUGGAGCCAGAAGACGUGACGCAGGAGGUCCCCGAAGACGUUUGGCCUCUCAUCCGGGCAGGCUUCAUCGGUUGAUGCGGCGGAGCUUCGACAGGAUCCGCGCGCGGAAAACCAACUUGGAGGGAUGCCCCGCACCGCGCACCGGAUCAUUCCUUCGGGAUGCAGAAAUCGGGAAGGAGUCCUUACGUGGUGUGACUCGAAAUUUGAGCGUAAAUAGUCGAAUUUGCCGUACAAACGCCGCCCCGUGGAUCCCAACUAAGUUUUGUUGCAUGAACUGAUGAAGCCUGCUCAGGCAGGAGGCCGAAGGUUUUCCAAGAACAAGCGGAACGUUCCGGCUGAAAGAGAAUAUUCGCAGGCGUCGUGAACUGUUAUACUGUAGUUCGGUGGUCCCCGGACCGCGGUCCGUAAGCCAUUUCUUACAGAAAGAAUGAUCAAGUUAGAUCAUGUUUUGCAUUAUAUGGCGUUGCAAAUGUUUUGGGUUUUUCACUUUUGUGUGUGUGUGUGUGUGCGCGCGCGCGCCGCAACAUGCGUGCGUCUCAGAUGACGCUUCCGUGUCUGACUCGCUAACGGCAACCGACCUCAUUUUUGUAGUCACAUCUUGCGUCACAAGCCGUGGGUCUAAGGCAGCUGUCAGGGGAAGGGGACAAAAGAAUUUCCAAAGUAUUCAACGGGAGAAAAUGAAAGCAACAACUGGACCUUCCUCAAAAAGAUGAGAAGAAAACUGAGAACUGGUCAGGGGGUUGCCAAGAGCCCGGCAGCAAUACGGAAGGAGCUGCAGCGAUUGCUGGCGAUUACUGGCUGCUUCCUACACUGGACAACACUUUCCUAUCGUAUUUAUAGUCUGAAAGUCUCACCUUACAGAGGAAAACUUCAGUCGGUUUGUUUUGGGUUGUUUUUUU